GCCGCAAGGCUAAAACUCAAAGGAAUUGACGGGGGCCCGCACAAGCGGCGGAGCAUGCGGAUUAAUUCGAUGCAACGCGAAGAACCUUACCAAGGCUUGACAUAUACCUGCAAAGGCUGGAAACAGUCUCCUCGCAAGACAGGUAUACAGGUGGUGCAUGGUUGUCGUCAGCUCGUGUCGUGAGAUGUUGGGUUAAGUCCCGCAACGAGCGCAACCCUCGUUCUAUGUUGCCAGCGCGUGAUGGCGGGAACUCAUAGGAGACUGCCGGGGUCAACUCGGAGGAAGGUGGGGAUGACGUCAAAUCAUCAUGCCCCUUAUGUCUUGGGCUUCACGCAUGCUACAAUGGCCGGUACAAAGGGCUGCAAUACCGUAAGGUGGAGCGAAUCCCAAAAAGCCGGUCUCAGUUCGGAUUGAGGUCUGCAACUCGACCUCAUGAAGUCGGAGUCGCUAGUAGUCGCAGAUCAGCAACGCUGCGGUGAAUACGUUCCCGGGCCUUGUACACACCGCCCGUCAAGUCAUGAAAGUCGGUAACACCCGAAGCCGGUGGCCCAACCCUUGUGGAGGGAGCCGUCGAAGGU
rnacentral:rRNA from 1 species